rnacentral:rRNA from 1 species
GUCAGCAGCUGUAUCACCCUGCAGCUCACCACUGAUGCUCAGCAGGUGUGAGCCUGGUCAGUACUUGGAUGGGAGACCUCCUGGGAAAGCUACAGUUGCUGCUGGAA